rnacentral:rRNA from 1 species
UACGAAGGGGGCGUAGCGUUGCUCGGAAUUACUGGGCGUAAAGGGCGCGUAGGCGGCCACUGUUAGUCAGGCGUGAAAAGUCCUGGGGCUCAAACCUGGGAACUGCGCUUGGAAUACGGGCAGAGCUAGAGGAUGGAAGAGGGUCGCGGAAUUCCCAGUGUAGAGGUGAAAAUUCGUAGAUAUUGGGAAGAAACACCGGUGGCGGAAGGCGCUCUGGCUGGACCCAUAACUGACACUCAGGGACGAAAGCU